UUACGGCCAUAUCACGUCCAAAGUACCGGUUCCUAUACUAUAACUGAAAUUAAGCAACGUCGAGCCUGGUCAGUACCUAAAUCGGUGACCACUUGGGAAUAUCAGGUUCUGUAAG